AGCUGAUGCCCAGGUCGGGGCCCUGUCGCUGGCCACACUGGGCUCCGGUCCAAGGCUAGAAGGCUGGCCCCUGCUGCAACCCCUCUCCGGCUCCUCUGCCACCCACCUCCCGGGGCUGGCCGGCUGUGGGGAGCCGGGCGGCCGCAGGAGGUGGCUGAUGCCCUGGGAGGGGGUGCGGACCCAGAAACCAACUCGACCAGCAACAGCAGCCACUCAGCCUGGGACCUGGGCAGCGCCUUCUUUUUCUCAGGGACCAUCAUCACCACCAUCGGUGGGGGAGGGGAUUGGCAUGUGGGGGGCGGCAAGGAGCUUCCUCAUGGGGGAAGGUGCAGGGAGACGGAGGGGUCCCAGGUGGCCCCUAGACUUCCUGCAUCGCCCCUCUGCCCAGGAUAUGGCAAUGUGGCCCUGCGCACAGAUGCCGGGCGCCUCUUCUGCAUCUUUUAUGCGCUGGUGGGGAUUCCGCUGUUUGGGAUCCUACUGGCAGGGGUCGGGGACCGGCUGGGCUCCUCCCUGCGCCAUGGCAUCGGUCACAUUGAAGCCAUCUUCUUGAAGUGGCACGUGCCACCGGAGCUAGUAAGAGUGCUGUCGGCGAUGCUUUUCCUGCUGAUCGGCUGCCUGCUCUUUGUCCUCACGCCCACGUUCGUGUUCUGCUAUAUGGAGGACUGGAGCAAGCUGGAGGCCAUCUACUUUGUCAUAGUGACGCUUACCACCGUGGGCUUCGGCGACUAUGUGGCCGGCGCGGACCCCAGGCAGGACUCCCCGGCCUAUCAGCCGCUGGUGUGGUUCUGGAUCCUGCUCGGCCUGGCUUACUUCGCCUCAGUGCUCACCACCAUCGGGAACUGGCUGCGAGUAGUGUCCCGCCGCACUCGGGCAGAGAUGGGCGGCCUCACGGCGCAGGCUGCCAGCUGGACUGGCACGGUGACAGCGCGCGUGACCCAGCGAGCUGGGCCCGCCGCCCCGCCGCCGGAGAA
rnacentral:sRNA from 1 species